GCUUGCUCUUAUGAAGUUAGCGGCGGACGGGUGAGUAACACGUGGGUAACCUGCCCAUAAGACUGGGAUAACUCCGGGAAACCGGGGCUAAUACCGGAUAACAUUUUGAACCGCAUGGUUCGAAAUUGAAAGGCGGCUUCGGCUGUCACUUAUGGAUGGACCCGCGUCGCAUUAGCUAGUUGGUGAGGUAACGGCUCACCAAGGCAACGAUGCGUAGCCGACCUGAGAGGGUGAUCGGCCACACUGGGACUGAGACACGGCCCAGACUCCUACGGGAGGCAGCAGUAGGGAAUCUUCCGCAAUGGACGAAAGUCUGACGGAGCAACGCCGCGUGAGUGAUGAAGGCUUUCGGGUCGUAAAACUCUGUUGUUAGGGAAGAACAAGUGCUAGUUGAAUAAGCUGGCACCUUGACGGUACCUAACCAGAAAGCCACGGCUAACUACGUGCCAGCAGCCGCGGUAAUACGUAGGUGGCAAGCGUUAUCCGGAAUUAUUGGGCGUAAAGCGCGCGCAGGUGGUUUCUUAAGUCUGAUGUGAAAGCCCACGGCUCAACCGUGGAGGGUCAUUGGAAACUGGGAGACUUGAGUGCAGAAGAGGAAAGUGGAAUUCCAUGUGUAGCGGUGAAAUGCGUAGAGAUAUGGAGGAACACCAGUGGCGAAGGCGACUUUCUGGUCUGUAACUGACACUGAGGCGCGAAAGCG
rnacentral:rRNA from 1 species